AACGAACGCUGGCGGCAUGCCUAACACAUGCAAGUCGAACGAGACCUUCGGGUCUAGUGGCGCACGGGUGCGUAACGCGUGGGAACCUGCCCUUAGGUUCGGAAUAACUCCCCGAAAGGGGUGCUAAUACCGGAUAAUGUCUUCGGACCAAAGAUUUAUCGCCUUUGGAUGGGCCCGCGUUGGAUUAGCUAGUUGGUAGGGUAAAAGCCUACCAAGGCGACGAUCCAUAGCUGGUCUGAGAGGAUGAUCAGCCACACUGGGACUGAGACACGGCCCAGACUCCUACGGGAGGCAGCAGUGCGGAAUAUUGGACAAUGGGCGAAAGCCUGAUCCAGCAAUGCCGCGUGAGUGAUGAAGGCCUUAGGGUUGUAAAGCUCUUUUACCCGGGAUGAUAAUGACAGUACCGGGAGAAUAAGCUCCGGCUAACUCCGUG
rnacentral:rRNA from 1 species